UACAGAGGGUGCAAGCGUUGUUCGGAAUUAUUGGGCGUAAAGAGCUCGUAGGCGGUCUGUCGCGUCGGAUGUGAAAAUCCAGGGCUCAACCCUGGACCUGCAUUCGAUACGGGCAGACUAGAGUUCGGCAGGGGAGACUGGAAUUCCUGGUGUAGCGGUGAAAUGCGCAGAUAUCGGGAGGAACACCUGUGGCGAAAGCGGCUCACUGGACCACAACUGACGCUGAGGCGCGAAAGCUAGGGGAGCAAACAGG
rnacentral:rRNA from 1 species